UACGUAGGGGGCAAGCGUUAUCCGGAUUUACUGGGUGUAGAGGGAGCGUAGACGGCAGAGCAAGUCUGAAGUGAAAGCCCGCGGCCCAACUGCGGGACUGCUUUGGAAACUGCCCGGCUAGAGUGCUGGAGAGGUAAGCGGAAUUCCUAGUGUAGCGGUGAAAUGCGUAGAUAUUAGGAGGAACACCAGUGGCGAAGGCGGCUUACUGGACAGUAACUGACGUUGAGGCUCGAAAGCGUGGGGAGCAAACAGG
rnacentral:rRNA from 1 species